GUUAAGUUAGUUUAUAAUAAAAUGCUAGCCUGUGGAGCUAAAGAAGAGAAAGAUUCUUACUUAACC
rnacentral:tRNA from 1 species